rnacentral:rRNA from 1 species
GAUAAGGAGCUUGCUCCUUUGACGUUAGCGGCGGACGGGUGAGUAACACGUGGGUAACCUACCUAUAAGACUGGAAUAACUCCGGGAAACCGGGGCUAAUGCCGGAUAAUAUUUAGAACCGCAUGGUUCUAAAGUGAAAGAUGGUUUUGCUAUCACUUAUAGAUGGACCCGCGCCGUAUUAGCUAGUUGGUGGGGUAAUGGCUUACCAAGGCAACGAUACGUAGCCGACCUGAGAGGGUGAUCGGCCACACUGGAACUGAGACACGGUCCAGACUCCUACGGGAGGCAGCAGUAGGGAAUCUUCCGCAAUGGGCGAAAGCCUGACGGAGCAACGCCGCGUGAGUGAUGAAGGUCUUCGGAUCGUAAAACUCUGUUAUUAGGGAAGAACAAAUGUGUAAGUAACUGUGCACGUCUUGACGGUACCUAAUCAGAAAGCCACGGCUAACUACGUGCCAGCAGCCGCGGUAAU